GGGGAAUUUUGGACAAUGGGCGCAAGCCUGAUCCAGCCAUGCCGCGUGCGGGAAGAAGGCCUUCGGGUUGUAAACCGCUUUCAGACGGAAAGAAAUCGCUGAUCCUAAUACGAUUGGUGGAUGACGGUACCGUAAGAAGAAGCACCGGCUAACUACGUGCCAGCAGCCGCGGUAAUACGUAGGGUGCGAGCGUUAAUCGGAAUUACUGGGCGUAAAGCGUGCGCAGGCGGCUUUUUAAGCCAGACGUGAAAUCCCCGGGCUUAACCUGGGAACUGCGUUUGGAACUGGAAGGCUAGAGUGUGUCAGAGGGGGGUGGAAUUCCGCGUGUAGCAGUGAAAUGCGUAGAUAUGCGGAGGAACACCGAUGGCGAAGGCAGCCCCCUGGGAUAACACUGACGCUCAUGCACGAAAGCGUGGGGAGCAAAC
rnacentral:rRNA from 1 species